CCUUAUCAUUCACCAGUCCGGUUGGAAUUCUGUAGACUGGACGGAGAACUGAUAAGGGC
rnacentral:pre_miRNA from 1 species